rnacentral:rRNA from 1 species
CAGUCGCCGCGGUAAUACGAAGGGUGCAAGCGUUAAUCGGAAUUACUGGGCGUAAAGCGCGCGUAGGCGGUUUGUUAAGUCUGUUGUGAAAUCCCCGGGCUCAACCUGGGAAUGGCAAUGGAUACUGGCAAGCUAGAGUGUGUCAGAGGAUGGUGGAAUUCCCGGUGUAGCGGUGAAAUGCGUAGAGAUCGGGAGGAACAUCAGUGGCGAAGGCGGCCAUCUGGGACAACACUGACGCUGAGGCACGAAAGCGUGGGGAGCAAACAGGAUUAGAUACCCCCGUAGUCCCUGUCUCUUAUAC